rnacentral:rRNA from 1 species
UACAGAGGUGGCAAGCGUUGUUCGGAAUUACUGGGCGUAAAGGGCGCGUAGGCGGCCUACUAAGUCAGACGUGAAAUCCCCCGGCUUAACCUGGGAACUGCGUCUGAUACUGGAAGGCUUGAGUAUGGGAGAGGGAUGUAGAAUUCCAGGUGUAGCGGUGAAAUGCGUAGAUAUCUGGAGGAACACCGGUGGCGAAGGCGACAUCCUGGACCGGUAUUGACGCUGAGGCGCGAAAGCCAGGGGAGCAAACGGG